CGGGACGUGUGGGGUGUGUGCUGUGUGUCCGGACCGCGUCCGUGGUACCCGGGUGGCGUCCGGAGCUCCGUCCUGCUGCGGCAGCUCGGACUGCCCAGAGUAGACCGCUGCUCGGUUGGGAAGGCUUGCCCGUUCAUCUCCCUGCCCCCGGGCCCGCGCCGGCUGAACAUGAGCCCAGACGGGCAAGGAGGCCAAUAGCACAUGGGGUGUGUCAGCCACAGCGCGGCCAGCGGAACCAGGGCAGUCACCCCCCAGCUGUGGUGAGGCACCUCUGGUCCUGGGGCCAGUUCUUGGUGCUUCUCUACAAAAAAAGACAUUGCGGGGCAGGAGUAUGUCUGGAAAAGAGAAUGGAACUGUGGAAGGGUCUGGAGCACAAGGAGCAGCUGAGGGAGCUGGGAGGACUCAGCCUGGAGAAAGGGAGGGUUGAGAGGACUUUCUUGCUUUCCACAACCCUGUGGCAGGAGGAUGCAGUCGUGUGAAGGUCAGGCUCUGCUCCCAGGGAACAAAGGACAGGACAAGAGGCACUGGCUUCAAGUUGUUGCAGGGGAGGUUCAGGUUGGACGUCAGUAAGAAUCUCUGUGGAAAGGCUCAUCCAGCCCUGGCAGGACUGUCCAAAGUAGUGGUGGAGUCCCCAUCCCUGAAAGGGUUUAAAAGCUGUGUAGAUGUGGCACCUGGGGACGUAGUUUAGUGGUGGCCUUGGCAGUGGUGGGUGAGCAAUUGGUUUUAAUCCUCAGGGUCUUUUCCACUAAUUCCACGAUGGCAACAGUUAGAUCUGUGCUUGUUUCCAAGGUUUGAUCAGCUGAACACUGCCUUUGAGAGGUUUACAGGACAUCCUUGAAUGUCCUGACUUUGUCAAUGUGCUUGAGCAGAAGUCAUGCUUUCUGUGGCAGAAAGAUGAGCAAGGUAUGUAAACAAGUGCACUGCAACUUUUCUGCUUGGAAAGAGACCUUUCCGGGAUGAGAAUUCUGAUUUGGAAAUUGUUAGAUGCAUGCUCUCUGAGAAGGGCCAGCUGUGAAAAGGGGCAAAAUGGAUGUCUGGGAGCAUAAAGAUGAGUCACUGCCUGGAAGGGACAGACAUGACUGGAAAACAGUGAUCUAUUUUCCAAAGCCUUGUGCUGCUUCAGUCUUCUGCGCGUCAUGUCAAGUGUGCCAGAAAGUGACAGGCUUGAAGCCGCAAGGAGACUGCAAGAAAUCAAGGAGGUGGAGAAAGCCCACACACACUGAGGAGGGGCAGAUCUUGAAUAGAAGCCAGCUCGACAUUCCAUCUCCCAGGAAGUUCAGGGUGCCCUCACCGCCAGCUGGGACAUGGCCAUGGGAACCUGCUCAGCUGCUCCCACAGGGAGAGAAAGAGCCUCCUGAUGGCAGAAGCUCGGGGGAGGAUGGUGCAGGCAUGGAGAAAGGGAACUUCUUCAUUCAUCCUCAAGAGAGGAGGAGUAAUGUCGGUUUCUCGGCUGUUUAGGUGGCCUGGAAAGGCCCGGGGUGGCCUUGGACAGCCCGUGCUCCAAAGGACGAGAAGAAGCUUCAGAUCUUUUCUCGGUCUCGGUGUUUAUUAAUUGUUUAUCUAAAAGAUUUUCUCUCGGCCCGACAGAGUCUGCACAGCAGCCAGCCUUGAGCACACUGAGAGCCCCUGGGGCGGUCACCUAUCUUUAUACUCGAAAUUACAUAUACAAUAUUUAUCAAUUUUCCCCAAUACCUUUUACCCUUAUUAACCAGUGCACUUUUAGUAAGAACCAAUCCCAAAGUGCCAACACCACCACAGAAGAUGGAGGCCAAGAAGAAGAAGAAGAAGGACAGGACAGGACAGGACAGGACACACCCCAAUUCCUCCAUCUUACUUCUUUAGACCCCCCUGUACAGAAAUCCCAAACCCUGUGUUUCACUCUAACUAACUUAUCCCUUCACCAUUUACCCCAGUGAAAUCCUCCCAUCCUCAUACAGGUGUCGUCUCCCGUGCAGGAUCAAAGUGCAGCCACCAGACACUUCUGGCAACAUUCCAGGACUCCCGAGCCCCCCAAGGGUGGUCUCGGCCACUCUGCACAUCAGUCCUGCGGUGCUGAGAUCCCACAGAGUAAAAAGUAGCACCAGUUGCAACAUUGCAACAGGAGCCUCACUCUUGGCCAAUGAUUUCAAGUGCAUAUAGCUUCUGUACAGACCUGUUCAGUACUGGUCACCAAGCUUCCCAGCAUGACCUGCCAGUGACCAUCAAAGGCUGCAGAUAUCUCAGAAAAAGGUUGACCAUUAAACCUGACGUUUAUGAUUGAAACAAUAAAACCAUCAAACCAAA